AGAACGAACGCUGGCGGCAGGCCUAACACAUGCAAGUCGAACGAGCCCUUCGGGGUUAGUGGCGGACGGGUGAGUAACACGUGGGAACGUGCCUUUUGGUUCGGAACAACUCAGGGAAACUUGAGCUAAUACCGAAUGUGCCCUUCGGGGGAAAGAUUUAUCGCCAUUAGAGCGGCCCGCGUCUGAUUAGCUAGUUGGUGAGGUAAAGGCUCACCAAGGCUUCGAUCAGUAGCUGGUCUGAGAGGAUGAUCAGCCACACUGGGACUGAGACACGGCCCAGACUCCUACGGGAGGCAGCAGUUAGGAAUCUUGCGCAAUGGGCGAAAGCCUGACGCAGCCAUGCCGCGUGAAUGAUGAAGGUCUUAGGAUUGUAAAAUUCUUUCAGCGGGGACGAUAAUGACGGUACCCGCAGAAGAAGCUCCGGCUAACUUCGUGCCAGCAGCCGC
rnacentral:rRNA from 1 species